GGCUUCAGGCCUGGGGCCGCGUCCUGUCUGUCUGUCCGCCUGGGGAUCUGCCUGGCAAUCCUGCGUGUGGCCCUCGGGUCCUCCUGCUGUUCUGCCACUCUGACAUCUGAGCAUCUCUUUCCCUCUCCAGAAGCUUGCCCCGCUGCACACAGCCCUCCCCUGUCUGUUGGCCUUAGAGGUGGCCACCUGGGGCCUCUUUCCCAGGCGCACCCUGCACCUCUCUCCUCUGGCAGGAGGAAACUGCCUCAGCGCUCAACGUCCUGUCCUAGUGAAACCCCAAGGACUCAGGAAAGUGCUAGCUCAGGGCUUCCUUCCCUUCUUCUUCUUGGCCUCCGCCUCCUUCACUCCCUUUGGAACGGGGGUCCCAAUCCAGUAUCUCCUAGACCCCCAAAGUCCUGGCAGGCUGGGAGGAAGCCUGUCUGCCCAGGUCCUAAGAACACAACUAUCAUUUUCUCUGGGAAGUUUUCCCUGGUGUGCCGCGUGCUCCACUGGCCCACCCCUGUCUAGGGCAAUUGCCACACUGUCUCGUAAGCAGGAAAAAUUCACCCGGUGAGCUUCAAAAUCUCUACCCAUUUACAAUAAUGGUGUGUAAGGCCCUUUCUGGGUUAGUGAAUAGUUUUAAAAAUGUGUAUAAGUAGAAUGGUUUCGAAUGAGCUAGGAAGUGCUUUUCAGACUUCAGUGUGCACAGGAGUCCUUUGUGGAUCUUGUUCAGAGGUGGCCCUUCUUGUAGUAGGUCUGGGGUGAGGCCCCGGAUUCUGCAUUUCCAAGUAGUCCUCGUGUGCUGAUCACCAUUAUGAGUAGUGAGGAGUCAGGGAACAUGGGGACUCAGGGGUACCUCCUUGCAACCCUUUUGGUAAGCCACACAACACCCUUUGAUUUGUUCUGGUGUGCACAAGUAUUUUAAAUCUCAUUGGUUCUUACUUCCCCUGAAGGAUAGCUGGAUUUUCAGAUUGUCCAUACCCCUUCCUGACUUUUCCCACACCUGUGAACACUACAAAAUGACACAGGAUGCCCAUAGCCGAUCCUGCUACUUUGGAAUGCCUCCCUAGAUUUGUUACAGCUCCCCAGCAGUGUGACCUGGCUUCUGUUUUCUGGCAAGCUCUGGUCCCACAGAAUGGGUUGGUUGAGCUAAUUCUUAAGAAAGAAGCGAAUGGUCACAUUUAUUUUCAGAAGUCAAGCAAGGCCAGGCCUUCCUUGUAGGAGAGAGAGGGCCAGGUAUGUUAAGAAAGGUGAUGACUCUGUUAUUAUUGUACUCUCAGCCCCUCCUAAUAAUGUGUUUCUAAGGAUUCUUUGCUUUAGCAAACAGAUUUAAUUUACGACAAGUGUAGGUGGCCUUAAGGCUUUAGCCCUUUUUAAGGACUAGGGUGAUUUGUAAGAAAUAGCAGUUCCAUUUUUUUAUGAUGUUUUAAAAACAUGUCAGUACCCUUUACAACCCAAGAGAGACUCAGGAGCACAAGAUCUGCUUUGAGGUGUCCUACCUUUUAAGCAACCUCAGAUAGCAGUACCUGGGAAAAGGGGUGCUAAUUAUGACUACAUAAGAUGUGUAUUUCAGACUUGAGAGAUGUGAACACGAGUUUUUUUUUUUUUUAAAUCACUGUUGUUAUAAACCACUUAGUAAGUUGCACUAAUUUAUUAAAAAAAAAAUCAAACCAUUCAAAAGAACAUAUAGGAAAAAGUGAAACUACCCCAUAUCCAUUUCCUGGGGUAUUCACUGUUGACAGUUUCCCUAGUAUUUUCCAGAUACUUCUUUACACUCAUACAGAUUUAUACAUGAACACAUGUUUACAUAUUCCCAUAUGCAAAUAGCAAACACAAUGGGAUCAUUCUUAACAUAUGUGUCCAGUUUGCUUUUUCAUUCGACACGAUGUGGGAAAAUAAGUUUGUGCUCAGGAUGACAUGUGGUCAGACCGGUAGAAAUACGACAAGAUCUCCAGCCAGGUUUCCAAAUUACAUUCAUCAGAGGCUUUGAUGUGUUAGGUGGGGAGCCAGCAAGCCCUCAAAGAGCUUAUUAGUGCUAAAGAUUUGCUCUAGAAGGUCAUAUGCUCAAGGGAGUGGGUGCACGCACGGGCACAGUUUGUGGACUCACUCACGAUAACAACCCAUUAGGAAUCAUCAGGAGUGUAAGGUUGGAGCCUGAUGGCCACAUGCUCUUCCUCUGUGCCAACCUGAGUUUGCCAGUGAAGUCACGUUCAUUGCUCCCAGUAAGAGAGUUUUGAACUGAAGGAGGCUCAUGGGCUACCUAGUCCAGUUCCCUUCUGUAUAGCUGAGGACCCCAAGGCCAGGAAGGUGAGUUGACUUGGCUUGUGGCCCAGGUCUCCAGAACCCCAGUAUGGGGAUCUUCUUGUAUACCAUAUGCUUUAUUUAUUUAUUUAUUUUUAAAGAAACCAUUAAAGAUUGACUGGGGUGUAGCUCCGUGUUAGAGCACUUGCCUAGCAUGUACCCUAGCAUGGGCCCUGAUUUCAGACCCCAGCACCACCAAAAACCAAACCCAGACAAAACAAGUUAAAAAGUGGGGAUGGGGUGGUGGCUCAGUGGUAGAGCACCUGCCUGGCCUGUGCGAGGCACUGGGUUCGAUUCUCAGCACCGCAUGUAAAUAAAUAAAAUAAAGGUCCAUUGACAAUUAAAAAAAAGUUUUUUAAAAAAGUUAAAAAGUUAAAGCUCACCCAAUUCUAAAUCUCAUUCAUUCAUCCCACCUUUGAUGUAAAUUAAGAAUUACAUCCCAAGGAGCCACCGUCCUUUGGCAAGCAUGGCCUUGAAGCCUUAUCUAUCUGAACACUUCUGCUCCUCUCCACCCACCUGAGGGGAGAGCGCAUACAGAUCUGUGCAGGAGGUGGCCAGCCUUCUGUCCUUCACAGUAGCUUGUAAGAAGAGCUGGUGAAUUCAUGGCUCAAGUGACAAAGUCACUGUUGUCCCACUUCUUUGUUUGCAUUCCUGGGGAGAAAGUGGUCCUCCACAGCCUGAAGCUUUGUGGCUUUGUGGCGCGGAUGUUGCUGGUUUCCCUUUGAACAUGUUUCCAAAUCACCACCUGAAGAAUUCCUGGGCUCCGCUUCAUUUAACAUACUGCUAUUGCACACCCACAAAGGACAAAGCUCCAGAAGAGACGGAGAGAUGUAACAGCACAGAUCUUACCACCAGAAGAACAAGCCAAGCCAAGAAUUUGUUGUAGGACAUAGGAGGACUUCUGAGAGAUGCUGUCGCAGAGGGGCCAGGACCAUGAUUCAGGCACGAGGGAUUGGGGAGCAUCAAGGUGGGCUUCUGUGAGGACAGUAAGGGCAGCCACAGGCUGGAUGGCUGUUGAGCAGUUAGACUGGGCGGUCAGGUGAGGAAAGGUCCUGUGUGGGGAAAGUGUUUCUGGGAAAACUGCUCAUUCAGUUUGACCAGGGCCUGGAGUACAAAUGCUGGGGCGUUUGUGGUGUGAAAUUGGGGGUGUUCUGGAGGAGCAUCCAGUGACAAGAGUGGCCUCUUUACACAUUUGGGAGAUUAUGGAAAGGGAGAGGGCAGGGGUUUUUGAGUUGGGCAGUGGCAUUAUGGGAGAUUAAUCUAGGGAGAAGAGGGCUAUAAGGAUGGUGUUGGCAGAUGAGACAUUUGGAAAACCAGUGAGAAAGGGAGUUCCUGUAAGAGGCCACGAGAGCUGUGGCAUUGGAGGGGCCGGGAGAACGCACAGGAAGGUGAGGUCUGAGCAUGGACGGAUGAGAGGGGCAGGGAGCGGGUAUCAAAGAGCUGGUUCUGGCAAUUGAGAGCAGAGUUGCACCAUCAAAAACCAAAGCAGCUGGGUGCAGGGGCGCACGUCUGUCAUCCCAGCAGCUCAGGAGGCUGAGGCAGGAGGAUCAUGAGUUCAAAGCCAGCCUCAGCAACGGCGAGCACAAAGCGACUCAGCGAGACCCUGUCUCUGAAUAAAAUACAAAGUAGGGCUGAGGAUGUGGUUCAGUGGCUGAGUGCUCCUGAGUUCAAUCCCUGGUGCCCACCUCCCCCAAACAAAACAAAGUAAAACAACAAAACAAAGCCAUACAGACGACAAGACCCAACUUAUAAAAACACAAGCUCCUCCAAGGCAGAGCUGGUUUUAGAGGCUGGGGACGGGUGAAAAGAUGGUUUUGACAUUUUGAAAAUACUGAACUUGAGGUAUUGGAGAGCUAUGCCAUUGGAGAUGUCCAGCCCGCAGUCAGAUGUGCCAAUUGGGCCAGAAGUGCCUACUAAGGAUUUGGCCACUGGAUUUUGGCACACUUUCUCUGAGGCAGAGAAGAAAGGAGAUCAGGACUGGAGUUAGCACAGCAGGAACUUGGGAGUGCAUUUCUCACAUUCCUGGCCCUUGAUUCCUCUGAGAAUAUGGGCAGGUGACAUAGCAUUCCUGAGCCUCAGUUUCCCCACUUGUGAGAUGGGGGACAGCUGUGUGUUCAAACUCAGGGAGUUGUGUGAAGGUGAGCUUAUAAUCAGAUACCAAUGUUAUAACUAUUUUCCUAAAGACUAUUUUUUUCUCGGGGGGAGGACUGUUCUCUGUAUAUGGCUUUUCAUUUCUUAGCAGCAGGGAUACAGGCUAGAGCACCACGUGGGAAAACAAAUUUGCAAUAGGAAACGUUUUCCUAUCAUAUUUUUGUUGGGUCCAUAAGUUACAUUUGCAUGUGGGGUCUUCUUCAGGUGAUGAAAGAAAAUACUAUGAAAUUUCAUUUUAAUUUUGGAAUUACAGGCCAGCUUAUACAUGCUUAAGCUUGCCUUCAGACUUGCAGUGUUUAUGACAUUAAACUAGUGGAGACAUUAUCAGAUUUAUUUUCUAUUUCUUGGCUUAUCUUCUGCACAUAACCAGAGAGUGAACUAUGACUUCCUUUCCAUGAAAGUACAGCCAGCCCCACGUUGUCCUGUUUGCCCAUUUUCAGCCUCCGUGAACACAAGCAAAGGUUGUUUUGAUGACCUUGAAAGCUGCUUGGUCGGCACCUCUUCAACGUAUUUCUGAACUAACCCUUGGAUGCUCCUGGUUGGGUGAGUGGUUGGUCAUUUACCAUGGAAGCAAUCAAUAAUAAACCAGUGUUACAUUGGACUUUAGUGAUAAGGAUUAAAUAAUAAGCCUUGCUUUUUCCUGGAUUGGGAAUUAUGAAGAUGAGCUUGGUUCUUUUGCUCACUGUCUAUGCUGCUGCUGCUUACGUUGUCCUGUUGACAUCAGGAGGAAAUGGUCCUCAGUCCGUGCACCAACCAAGGAAGUCCUGCAGAGCUUGUCUCAAGGUGAGGCAGGCCCUGGCUCUGGUCCACAUGUCCAGUACUGUCUUCGGAAUUGCUGUGAAAGGCAGCUUUCCUUGGUCAUCAGAAAUCACCUGUGAAACAUCACAGAUUUCAUGGCCCAGAAACAACACAUCCUAUUGUAGAAACCAUAUGCAAUAAUCAAUGCUAACAUUUAAUCCAAAUUUCCAAGGAUUUCAAAAUACUGAGCAAAUUAAUCUAGGCUUCAAGAAAUUCCCUAUUCUAUGAAUUUCAGUGACUUAUAGUACUUUUUCAAGUUUUUUGGUGAGGUUUACAGAGAAAGUAGAAGAUGAGAUAUUAAGGACUGCUUCUCAAAUUGAAUUUUGGCCCCUAAAGUUCCAGGAAGAGAUUUUUUUUUUUUUUUGAUGUUUGUCUCUAGGAAUUUGAAAGGGAAAGGUCAUGACACAGAAGCUUGACUCCUGAGGGGACUUUCCCCACUUUAACUAGUUGGGCUAUAGUGCCAAGUAAUUUGAAUAAAAUGGAAGUGAAAUGUCACAAACAUCUCAAAUGAAAUAUUAUUCUCAGCGAGAGCUUGUACGUAAACUUGGCACACUUGUUUUUUUGUCAAUUACUUGUGACAACAGCUCUGCACUGGCUGUCACCCCAGAAGUUGCCUAGAAACUGGUUUGGGGGGUGUCACUCCCAUCACUUCCUCAGCAGAAGCCCAGGAGGUCUGAGAGCAAUGGUGGGUGCCACUUUAGGGAGGAAGUGCUUCUCUGAGCCAGGGGCAUUGCAGGCGUUAUCCAUCAGGCCUACAAACCUGGCCAGAAGCCGUUAGUCGGAUGGUUUGGACAACUUGGUGGAGGUCCCAUAAUCAGGAAGAGGGAAAGGCAGAAUCUGAACACAGAUCUUUGGGGUGCUGCGUCUUGCCAGGAUCCUACCUUGCUUCUCAUUGUGGAUGUGUUAAUGCUGAGGGAACUGGGCAUGGCCAUGGAACAGUACUAUUUCUUUCACACUUACCUACACUUUGACCUCUGUCAACUCAGGCACUCCUCUCUAAAAGCACGAAGCAGAUGCACCAUAUUCCAUGUUACAGAGGAAGCACCAAAGGUCAGGGGUGCAGAGUGACCUGCAUUUAGGGCUGCUAAGCAUGUGGCAGAGCUGGGAUUUGAACCCCCAUUGUCUAGUCCCAGGCUGCACAUGGCCUUGACCACCUUGUCCUGCCGUCUCCUGGUGCACUGGCUGGAGGGAAGGGCCACUUGCCUGCCUUUUAUCAGGAGGUGUGUUAAUCUGCAGUGGUUGUGUCAGAGAUGGGGAUCUUGGAUGGUAGGUUUUGACGAUGCCAUUAGGUUGAAUGGAGUUUGUAACCUUAGAUGUCCUUGGAUCCCGUAUUAUUCUCUAAAUUAAUUCAUUCAUUCUAGAAGAGUUUAUGGAGCACUUACUAUGUGUGGGCAUUGUUCCAGGUGCUAAGGAUACAGGGUGAGCAACAUAUUCUCUUUUCCAGGCUCGGGAACUGGAAGGCCUUUCUUCUCCCAGAGGCCCCUUCAAAUGUACCAUUUCUGGGAGAGAGUUUCUGUCCUCAGAGAUCAUUCACCUCGUGCCUGGGCUUCAGGUUUAGGCCUCACCAGAAAAUAAAACAAACAAAUGAAAACAGUGAUCUCAGGAGCCCCUGUGCCCAUCCCCAGGCAGAGAGCUGUGUGUGGGAGAGAACGUCCUCAGACUGGCCCAGCGGGAGUGCCAGAGCCAGAGGCUUGCCCCCUGGCAGCCCCAUGCAGGUUGGCCACAUCCUCUGCAAUCAGGGUUAGGAUGACACUUCCAGUGGCAGCCAAUCUGUGCCCUCGAUCCAGGGGCUCCUGUGAAGAGGGGUUCCUCCCACAGGCCAUGAGACCAAUGCAGAGAAGUCACUCCUCCCAGCUUGUGGCUUCUCUGGGUCCUCUCUGAUUGGGGUGGGAGAAGAGGCCCUCUCGCCCUAACGUGCUUAGGGGGGGGUCAUGUGCUGUCACUGAUGCUGGUGGCCCAUUCCUGGAGAUGUCAUCAGACUCCUGACAUCAGGGAGACACUCCUGGAGCCGGGUGUCCUCAGUGUUGGUCUGGGAUCCUUAAGUGGUUGUCCGUCCGCACCUCUUUGGUGGUCCGUGCUGACCACCCACAUUCACGAAGAGGUUUCCAUUUUCAAGGCAAACACCUGAGAAGUGGAUUAACCCCUCCCUGCUGCUUCCAGAAGUUUCCCCCACCCAACAGUUAGUUGUACCUAUUAACUUACCACAUACAUAUCAGGAGCAAGAAUAGGUCCCUCGUUAAUCAGCUCUGCUCUUUCUAUUUUCAAAACCCCUUUAAUUAAAAUCACCCAAAAGAUAAUGUGUAAUUAUGUAUUCAUCUUAUAAACUUCAAUCAAAAUCCAACACAGAGAGUUUCCAAAAUACAUCCAUCACUACAUGCUCAGCGCUGUCCACUGUUCUCUUUUCCAGUCACUUUGAUGAGGAUACCUGGGAAGCGAGUGUCCUGGGCCUUCUGGAAUAAUGCAGUUUCAACGCAUGCCCCAGAUGCUUCAAGCUUUGAAAGCCAGCUGUGAGCCACACGUGCCUGAACAGCUGAAUCUUGUGAAAUUGUGCCCUGGUUCAGGGCCCUGGGUGCUCAGCUGGUUUCCUUGUGCUGUGGUGUGUAGGACAUUUAAUUCCAUGGCCUGCAGAAGUGGUCAGAGGCUCUUGGGCCUUGGCUGCUCCCCGAUUCUCUUGCUUGCUUCUCACUGCACCUUGCGGGAGGCCACACGUAGUUUUUCUUCUUCCAUCUCUCAAGUUCUGACAUUUCUGCUUAAAGGCCCAAGGAAGAGAAGCUCGCGAUGUGGUCUCUCCCUGCCGUAAUAACUCCUAUCUAAGACAAACUCCUUUGGCCGAUGCCACUGUGCAGUGGGAUCAACUGCUACAGACCCCUUUUCUGGGUGGGGGUUGGAGAGGUGGCUGAUCCCAGGGGUGCACAGUGUGCUGAGGUCCACCUGCUCCUUCACUGUUACAGCUUCUUUCUCUUUCUCCACCAGUUGUUAAGGCACAGUUGGCCCCAGGGAAAGCUCGUUUGGUCAGGGUUCCCCAGAUCCCUGCAGCCCCAUUUGCUGCCUCAUUCUGGCCCCAAAGAACUGACCUGAAAGAGACCCAGGUGGUGUGAAGAGGGCUUCCUCUCAUCUGGGGUUCACGGCUGGCAUGGAAACUCCUUCCAAACCAAGACUGGCUCUUGGCCUCUUGAGUCUGCCUAGAAUUUCCAUUUGAGGUACAUAGCUGCUUUGUCCGUAAAGCCCUGGCUCAGUGGGUCAGGCAGAGCCCUGGAGGUUGUCGCUAGGUGUGAGCCUAGGCCGUACCUGCUGUUGACUCUGUAGGCAACUCCUCUGGCUCUGUCCAUGUGGUCAUCACGAUGUGGAGAGGAGGCCCUUGCACAUCUAUCCUUCAGGACCCUUGAGGAAUGAUGACUGAUCAACCUGAACAAUUUGAUUAUUUCUAAGGGGAUAAACUCCAUGUGCCCUUCAGUUUAGGAGUUCCUGGAAGAUAUUUCUAAGGGCUUUCCCUCUUUGCUAAGUCACAAAAGCCUCACCUACUUUAGCUUUCUAUUGACGAGGACGAGCAUUGCCUUGGAGACAGCCCCUUUGAGGGUCCCGCUGAGAUGUAGGGGGGGGGGAAGCUGGGGUGAGCAUUCAUCCAACCACAGCUGCCAUGAUGGCUGUGGCUCCCUGAUCAGAUGAAUGGAGCUCAGUGAGGGGAACGAGAAACUCAGCUCACCGUCGCCCUCAAAUGCUGAGAUGUGAGUCACAGAGGGUCCAAAAAUCGUGACACAAACCUAGACGUCAUUCCUACCCACAUGGCAGCAUUUUUGGUUGGCAGCCUAGCAAUUCACCCUCCUGAGCCCUGUUCCUGCCUUCAUGUCACUUUCCUGGGCCUUUUCAGAGGGUUUCUUAAUGCCAGGGCUCACUGUGAAGGUCCCUCCAGCCACACAUCCUAGGAAAGUCACACAGUGAAUGACUUUUGAGCUUGAGGGGCUCAGACUAAUCUAUCUCCAGAAAGCUCUCUCCUGUGUCUUUCCCUGGGCUACAGAAGGUCAUGCUCAGUGUUGGGGAAGGUGACAUGAGCCAGGUUUGCUCACUGCUGCUCCAAGAUCCUGAGAGGGCUCCUAGCCACAGAGAGAGGCCACGGAGGGACCAACACACAAAAGCCGAGGGUCCCAGAGGGUGGCCAACCUGUCCACGAUGGCAGUCGUGUGAGCCACAAAAGAUACCAGACACCAGCAACUUACGGGACCCUCACCACAGGCUUCAUGGAAGUGGCUCUUCACCAAACCCGGCCAACAACCAGCUGCCUCUUCAGGUCCCCUGCCUUCAGGGUGGCCCCGGCACCACUGGGUGGUAAAGUGCUAAUGGGGCCAAUGUGAGAGGCCGGUUCUUCCAGCUUUCUUCAGAACUCUUUCCCCCAGACGCGUGGCUGGAGGGCCGUCCCAGUGAGCCCUGGCAUUAAGAAACCCUCUGAAAGAGCACAGCAAAGUGACCUGCGGAGCUGAGGUCUGGACCACGUCUCUGCCCUCAGGCCCAUGUGCUCGUAGGCUCCUGUCUCUUCUCUGCCUCCUUCUGGGUUCAGUCUCAGGCCAUGACAACCUGCGUCUUCUCUCAUGCUAACAAGCCAGCUGCACUUGGGACAAGCCCCUUGGAUUCUGGGAAGUCUACAAUUACUGACUUGCAGGUAGUUUAAAAAUAAAGCAAAAGCUCUGGGCUCCCUUAUCCCCUAGGACGCCUUCUGGGGCCACAGGGGCCACCAAGGGUACCCAGGCUGCAAGCCAGAGGGAAUGACCCUCCUCUGCUCUAGCUGGGUGGUCUGGAGGGACCCACACUUGCCUCAGAAUCUGUUUGGUGGUGUAAAAAAUGAGGCGGUGAAACCAGUCAAUGUCCACUGUCUUCCAGGACCUUAUUUGUUGUGCAUCUGUAGAACCUCUUGGUCAGCAGACACCUUGGGUGGCUCUGAGCCAAGCUUCCUGCUUGCUGUGUCUCUCUGCUGAUUCCUUUAACCUGUGCAGGUGGGGAUAAAAAUGAGUUCUUGGAUAAAACAAAAGUACAAAAAUCUCCAGGCUUUUCUGUUAUAAUACAUAGAUAUACAUAGAGUAAUAAAUGGAUGCACCUCUAUAUUAUUAAAAUUAGCAUUUCAUGGGGGAGUAGAAUCAGGAAAAAAUGUUUUAAAAGGCUCCUUAUGGGCAACAUGAUGUGAGUAAAGAAAAGAUGGAAGCAUGUGGAUCUGACCACAAAGGUGUGCAGGGUGGGUGACAGGGAGUUGGCCUUGAGAGUGACGGUCAUUGGAGUCAAUCCGGGGCACUCAUCUGUCCUGGAUUGGCUCUUCCACACCGUGUAUCUAUCUUCUUUUCUUUCUUCUAAAUCUUGCUAAAUGCUCCCUUUCAGUGGGUGUGUGGGUACAUCUGUGGAUUCUGGUGGCUGUGGUUUAUUUUUUGUGGCUUUCUUCC